rnacentral:rRNA from 1 species
UACGUAGGGUGCAAGCGUUGUCCGGAAUUAUUGGGCGUAAAGAGCUUGUAGGCGGUUUGUCGCGUCUGCCGUGAAAACCCGCAGCUCAACUGUGGGCUUGCAGCUGAUACGGGCGGGCUGGAGUUCGGUAGGGGAGACUAGAAUUCCUGGCGUAGCGGUGAAAUGCGCAGAUAUCAGGAGGAACACCGGUGGCGAAGGCGGGUCUCUGGGCCGAUACUGACGCUGAGGAGCGAAAGCGUGGGGAGCGAACAGG